rnacentral:tRNA from 2 species
GCCCAGGUGAUGAAAUUGGUAUACAUGCAUCCUUGAGGUGGAUGUGCCGCAAGGCGUGGAGGUUCGAGUCCUCUCCUGGGCA